AGCACAGGAGAGCUUGCUCUCUGGGUGGCGAGUGGCGGACGGGUGAGGAAUACAUCGGAAUCUACUUUUUCGUGGGGGAUAACGUAGGGAAACUUACGCUAAUACCGCAUACGACCUACGGGUGAAAGCAGGGGAUCUUCGGACCUUGCGCGAUUGAAUGAGCCGAUGUCGGAUUAGCUAGUUGGCGGGGUAAAGGCCCACCAAGGCGACGAUCCGUAGCUGGUCUGAGAGGAUGAUCAGCCACACUGGAACUGAGACACGGUCCAGACUCCUACGGGAGGCAGCAGUGGGGAAUAUUGGACAAUGGGCGCAAGCCUGAUCCAGCCAUACCGCGUGGGUGAAGAAGGCCUUCGGGUUGUAAAGCCCUUUUGUUGGGAAAGAAAUCCAGCUGGUUAAUACCCGGUUGGGAUGACGGUACCCAAAGAAUAAGCACCGGCUAACUUCGUGCCAGCAGCCGCGGUAAUACGAAGGGUGCAAGCGUUACUCGGAAUUACUGGGCGUAAAGCGUGCGUAGGUGGUCGUUUAAGUCCGUUGUGAAAGCCCUGGGCUCAACCUGGGAACUGCAGUGGAUACUGGACGACUAGAGUGUGGUAGAGGGUAGCGGAAUUCCUGGUGUAGCAGUGAAAUGCGUAGAGAUCAGGAGGAACAUCCAUGGCGAAGGCAGCUACCUGGACCAACACUGACACUGAGGCACGAAAGCGUGGGGAGCAA
rnacentral:rRNA from 1 species